GGCUCAGAUUGAACGCUGGCGGCAUGCCUUACACAUGCAAGUCGAACGGUAACAGGUCUUCGGAUGCUGACGAGUGGCGAACGGGUGAGUAAUACAUCGGAACGUGCCUAGUAGUGGGGGAUAACUACUCGAAAGAGUGGCUAAUACCGCAUGAGAUCUACGGAUGAAAGCAGGGGAUCGCAAGACCUUGUGCUACUAGAGCGGCUGAUGGCAGAUUAGGUAGUUGGUGGGAUAAAAGCUUACCAAGCCGACGAUCUGUAGCUGGUCUGAGAGGACGAUCAGCCACACUGGGACUGAGACACGGCCCAGACUCCUACGGGAGGCAGCAGUGGGGAAUUUUGGACAAUGGGCGAAAGCCUGAUCCAGCAAUGCCGCGUGCAGGAUGAAGGCCUUCGGGUUGUAAACUGCUUUUGUACGGAACGAAAAGCUUCGGGUUAAUACCCGGAGCCA
rnacentral:rRNA from 1 species